rnacentral:rRNA from 1 species
UACGGAGGGUGCAAGCGUUAUCCGGAUUUACUGGGUUUAAAGGGUGUGUAGGCGGGCUUUUAAGUCAGUGGUGAAAUCUCCGGGCUCAACCCGGAAACUGCCAUUGAUACUAUUAGUCUUGAAUGUUGUUGAGGUAGGCGGAAUAAGUCAUGUAGCGGUGAAAUGCAUAGAUAUGACUUAGAACACCAAUUGCGAAGGCAGCUUACUAAACAAUGAUUGACGCUGAGGCACGAAAGCGUGGGGAUCAAACAGG